rnacentral:rRNA from 1 species
GACGAACGCUGGCGGCGUGCUUAACACAUGCAAGUCGAACGGAAAGGCCCUGCUUUGGUGGGUUGUUGGAGUGCGAAACGGGUGGGAAACAGGGGAUAAACCGCCCCUGGACUUGGGGUUAACUUAAGGAAACGGGGCUAAUAACCGGUUAGGAGCUCUUGUGGCAGGGGGGGGGUGGGAAAGUUUCGGCGGUUGGGGAUGGACUCGCGGCUUAUCAGCUUGUUGGUGGGGUAGUGGCUUACCAAGGCUUUGACGGGUAGCCGGCCUGAGAGGGUGACCGGCCACAUUGGGACUGAGAUACGGCCCAGACUCCUACGGGAGGCAGCAGUGGGGAAUAUUGCACAAUGGGCGGAAGCCUGAUGCAGCAACGCCGCGUGCGGGAUGACGGCCUUCGGGUUGUAAACCGCUUUCGCCUGUGACGAAGCGUGAGUGACGGUAAUGGGUAAAGAAGCACCGGCUAACUACGUG